GCCCGCUUAGCUCAGUGGUUUAGAGCUUCGUACUUAUGAGGUUAUCUUACUCUAUGCGAGGGUCAGCAGUUCGAACCUGCUAGUGGGCA